AUAUCAUGUGUCUACAAAAUCAUAGUAUUCAAAACAGAUUUUUUUACACCUCUUGAUAAAACAUACCAUGGUAUCCUCCAAUGCCACAGUUUUACCUCAAAAUUCUAAAAAUAUUUUGUUUCCAAACACCCUUCAACCUUUUUUUUGGCUGUGAAAGCCUGCUUGCUUAUAGAUAAUGAGCUGCUGGUGAAUGGGCAUCAAAGCAAAAACAAUCAAAUUGGUUACAAGUAAGAAUGAUCUCGAACCACGUCCUAGGGAUUCCUAGCACUCUCUGUGUAACCGAUCCAUCCUUGCAAAAUGACAUUACAAACUAAAGGCACACAAGAAAAAUGAAACUAACAGGCUUUUCUUCCGCAAUCGACCAAAGGGCCUCAGCUGCAUUGGGGGCUGUUGGCAAAUGUGUCGAUGGGGAACGAUUUCGACAUAGGGCCGGCGGAGAAACGGAGCUGGUCGCCGUCGCGGUCGACCUGCUUGACGCCGACCCACGAGAACAGCACCUUCACCUUCACUCCCUCCAGGGAUGUGAUGGACAGCGGCUGAAUGUGGCCGGCGACGCGGCUGCUGUACUGGACCCGCAUGCUGCCGGCGCGGAAGCUGCAGUCCGCCGGGAGGUACACCUCGAAGGAGCCGUCGGCGUUGAGGACGUACCCCGUCACGCCCUGCGGCAGGAUGCCCUGCGUGAAGUUGUACCGCUCCAGCAUCUGGUACGCGGUCGGCUGCGGCGGUGCCGGUGGUGUGGGUGCCGGCGGCGAGUCGUCGGCAACAGAGGCCACGGUGAGAGUGGCGACGAAAAGAAGGGUCACGAGGAGGUGGAGAUGCAAAGUGGCGGCCAUGAUUGGUGGCUUGGUGGUCAGUGGUGCUGGUACUUGGUUUCUGAUGUCUUGAACCACUAUAGCCGUCCUGUACUCCUGUAUAUAGUGG
rnacentral:misc_RNA from 1 species